CAACACAUGGAAAGCGGAAGGUUCCCGGAGGCGCAGGCAGGUUCCGACGAGGUGCAGACUCGGGGAAGGAGAGCCUGGGACACUGGACCAACAGGAACGAAGCUGGGAGUCAAUCCAGUGAGCCAAGAAGCGGCUCCUUAAGAGAGGAAGACCGGCAUGCUGGUGGACGCUGACAAACGCUCUUCGCCUGGCCAGACUUCAUUUAUUUUUAAGAAUAUGUUAACUUUUAUUUUAGGGCCAGAGGUGUAUGUGCAGCUCAAAACACUGCCAUGGAGAACCCGAGAGCAGGCCACAGCACUCCAGCUACAGCUGAGAACACACGGACGGUGACGGCAGGCAUCCUGGUCCCCAGCCAGCAGCUUCUGGAAGGACAGCCCUGUCACUGGCUUACAUCCUUGCUCAUUUAAGGAACAGAGUAGCCCUGAAUAAAACAUGAUUGAUUUCCA